UCCUCCGACAUGGAGGAUUUCAGGACAACGUGAGAUUUGGGUCGGGGCACAAAUCCAAACCAUAUCAUAAUGUAUAACUGAAAAACAUUCAGGAAACGCUGGAUUAAUUACUAUAUUAAUCCAUUCAAGACAUCCAACUCCAUGUCGAAGAGAGCUGUGUCCCAGAGCUCUUUCUUUAAACCUAAGUGAUUCGGCUCCAUUGACGAACAAGUACCUCGGAAUUCACAGGCAGCAGUUAGGAAACUUGGCUACUGAGGUUGAUGUGGAAGGAGGAGGCGGUCUUAUAUUGGCUGGGAACCUGCUACAGCGCCAGGAACUUCACAAGGGAGGUAAUACCAUUGCACCGGAGCAUGUAACCAAGGUGGAUUCAGCUGCACUGAAGAUCAGUUGUCCCAUCCCCGUGAAGUUGACUGUGCCCAAGGUAAGAAUACCUAGUGGAAUGUGGUCCUUGUUACCUGAGGAGCGAAGGUGCGUCUGUGCGGGCUGUCACUCCGUCUGUUUUGCAGCACCUCGCUCAAGUAAGUUACCCUGGAAUUAACACCUCCUAUAUUUUGAAAAAUCCUUGUGGUUGUCAUUCAAGUACUGCUAUAUGCUGG
rnacentral:lncRNA from 1 species